UGGGGAAUAUUGCACAAUGGGCGAAAGCCUGAUGCAGCGACGCCGCGUGAGGGAUGACGGCCUUCGGGUUGUAAACCUCUUUCAGCAGGGACGAAGCGCAAGUGACGGUACCUGCAGAAGAAGCACCGGCCAACUACGUGCCAGCAGCCGCGGUAAUACGUAGGGUGCAAGCGUUGUCCGGAAUUACUGGGCGUAAAGAGUUCGUAGGCGGUUUGUCGCGUCGUUUGUGAAAACCAGCAGCUCAACUGCUGGCUUGCAGGCGAUACGGGCAGACUUGAGUACUGCAGGGGAGACUGGAAUUCCUGGUGUAGCGGUGAAAUGCGCAGAUAUCAGGAGGAACACCGGUGGCGAAGGCGGUCUCUGGGCAGUAACUGACGCUGAGGAACGAAAGCGUGGGUAGCGAACAGGAUUAGAUACCCUGGUAGUCCACGCCGUAAACGGUGGGCGCUAGGUGUGGGUUCCUUCCACGGAAUCCGUGCCGUAGCUAACGCAUUAAGCGCCCCGCCUGGGGAGUACGGCCGCAAGGCUAAAACUCAAAUGAAUUGACGGGGUCAUAGCUGUUUCCU
rnacentral:rRNA from 1 species